rnacentral:rRNA from 1 species
AGUCCACGCCGUAAACGAUGAGUGCUAAGUGUUAGAGGGUUUCCGCCCUUUAGUGCUGAAGUUAACGCAUUAAGCACUCCGCCUGGGGAGUACGGCCGCAAGGCUGAAACUCAAAGGAAUUGACGGGGGCCCGCACAAGCGGUGGAGCAUGUGGUUUAAUUCGAAGCAACGCGAAGAACCUUACCAGGUCUUGACAUCCUCUGAAAACUCUAGAGAUAGAGCUUCUCCUUCGGGAGCAGAGUGACAGGUGGUGCAUGGUUGUCGUCAGCUCGUGUCGUGAGAUGUUGGGUUAAGUCCCGCAACGAGCGCAACCCUUGAUCUUAGUUGCCAUCAUUAAGUUGGGCACUCUAAGGUGACUGCCGGUGACAAACCGGAGGAAGGUGGGGAUGACGUCAAAUCAUCAUGCCCCUUAUGACCUGGGCUACACACGUGCUACAAUGGACGGUACAAAGAGCUGCAAGACCGCGAGGUGGAGCUAAUCUCAUAAAACCGUUCUCAGUUCGGAUUGUAGGCUGCAACUCGCCUACAUGAAGCUGGAAUCGCUAGUAAUCGCGGAUCAGCAUGCCGCGGCGAAUACGUUCCCGGGCCUUGUACACACCGCCCGUCACACCACGAGAGUUUGUAACACCCGAAGUCGGUGGGGUAACCUUUAUGGAGCCAGCCGCCUAAGGUGGGACAGAUGAUUGGGGUGAAGUCGUAACAAGGUACCAAGGGCGAAUUCGCGGC